rnacentral:rRNA from 1 species
UACGUAGGCAGCGAGCGUUGUUCGGAAUUACUGGGCGUAAAGAGUGUGUAGGCGGUGCUCUAGGUUCGGUGUGAAAUCUCCUGGCUCAACUGGGAGGGUGCGCCGGAAACUGGAGUGCUUGAGCGUGGGAGAGGAAAGCGGAAUUCCUGGUGUAGCGGUGAAAUGCGUAGAUAUCAGGAGGAACACCUGUGGUGUAGACGGCUUUCUGGACCAUAGCUGACGCUGAGACACGAAAGCGUGGGUAGCAAACAGG